UUGCCUUCUAACUGAACUUGCUUGUUAUCACCAAGAUAAACUGGGACCUUCACUAAUUCAUCCAAAUUCUAAAAAAUCUCCUUGACACCUGUCAUAUGGUUGCUGCAACCACUGUCUAGAAAUCAGAUGUCAGCAUUACUUACUUCACCAUUCAAACAAGUAAAAACAAAUUAUUCUCCUCUUUCUUUUCUUCAAAAAAAUUUGCUUCAUGCUUAGAAUUUUCUGGACAGAAUUUUUUGAUAUGCCCAUAUUUCUUGCAAGAAUGACAC
rnacentral:lncRNA from 1 species